GAAAGAUCCAUGAGAACAGAAUUGUUGCCUUUCCCAUUCACCCAGGAUCUUCACCAUCAAGAACAGGACCCGUGCAGAGAACUGGUCUUAACAAAGCAAAAUUGCUUGAUAUCUAGGACCACUGCUUUUCUAACUGAUGUGAUUAUGAUGAGUCCUUUUUCACAUUUCCUCGGCCACAAAUGAUGGGGUGCUGUGUGCCACAGUUCAAUUAUUUGGUGUUAUCUAAUCUAGAAUCAAGUUCACAUAUAUUUAUGUGAACAAAGUGAAAAAGAGGAAGUCUCCUGGACUCAGCCAUUACCUUUCCUGCCCCAACACAUCAGUCUUGGCAUCCUCAUCUUCUUGCCUAUCAUCUCGUAAGAAGGCCAAGAUACUGGACAUGUGUUCUGGAUUCCAUCACGCCUCCUGAGAGAUCUUGCUUUUAAAAGCAUCCUCUCUCAUUCCCAUAGCUCUAAUCUCACCCCACGGACUCCUACUCAUCUUCU